UCCCUGGUAGCUUAGACAGUAAAGAAACUGCCUGUAAUGUAGAAGACCUGGGUUCGAUCCCUGGCUUGGGAA
rnacentral:tRNA from 1 species